CCAGUAGCAUACGCUUGUCUCAAAAGAUUAAGCCAUGCAUGUCUAAGUAUAAAUAACUCUAUACUGUGAAACUGCGAAUGGCUCAUUAUAUCAGUUAUAGUUUAUUUGAUAGUCCUUACUACUUGGAUAACCGUAGUAACUCUAGAGCUAAUACAUGCGUCAAGUCCCGACUGCUGCAAGGCGGAAAGGAUGUAUUUAUUAGAUCCAACCAACCCGGCGGGGCAACUCGCCGGUACCUGGUGAAUCAUGAUAACUGAGCGAAUCGCAUGGCCUUGUGCCGGCGAUGGUUCAUUCAAGUUUCUGCCCUAUCAGCUUUCGAUGGUAGGGUAUUGGCCUACCAUGGCAUUAACGGGUAACGGAGAAUUAGGGUUCGAUUCCGGAGAGGGAGCCUGAGAAACGGCUACCACAUCCAAGGAAGGCAGCAGGCGCGUAAAUUACCCAAUCCUGACACAGGGGAGGUAGUGACAAUAAAUAUCAAUACGGGGCCAUUGGCUUCGUAAUUGGAAUGAGU
rnacentral:rRNA from 1 species